AAAAAAACGCAUUAAAACUCGAAUUGUGUGAAAUGAAACACACCUGAAGUCUAUAAAUUAAGGUAAAAUAUGAAGCUAGAGUAUGGCAUUUGAAAACAGUUUUUAACAUUUAUGUAGAUUCAUUCUGGGUUAUUUGCAUUGUUGGAAGUUAUUAGCGAGUUGCCAUAGUGAUGAUAGCUGAACCCUGAACCUGAAUUCCCAACUUCCGUUUGACCUUAGGUAUUUAAGGGCCUAUCUGUUUAUGCUAAUGAGCAGAGCCCACGGUCUACAUUUAAUUACGAUAAGAUGUUUUAAAAAUUAAUCGCGUUUUAUUUCUUGUAUUUUGUUUGAAACCUCACCAAGUAUUAGUGUGCUCAAAUAUAAGAAACUUGCAUUCUAUUUCAUCCAAGGAGUCUAGAUCUAGUCUAGAUCUUGUAAAAAUAGCAAGACUAACCCAGUGUAAGGAGGAUUGCCAAUGAAAUCAGAAGAUGGCUGAGAUAAAGCGGCUGAGGAGAACAGAGACUUGUGAGUGGAAUAGGUUGGUGGAACUUGUGUACAGCCCUAUCUAUGUUCAAUGUCUCAGGUGGAAGUACAUUUAGUACAGUUUUCACGGAGAUCCAGCUUUUAUUCAAGGCUCAUCUUAAAAAGAAUGAUGGGGCUGCUGGGACAUAACUAAAAUCUACAUUCAACUGCUUGCAGAUCUCAAGAAGCCUGGGGUUCAAGAGUUACAGAGUUUCAUUUGUAGUAUACAACUUUAUUUUUUAACAUUAGUGUUUUUAUAAGUUGUUACUGAAAAAAUGCUUGCUGUGAAUUGUAAAAAUUUUGAAAACUAACACUAACAAUGUUUAUAAUUAAGUUUUGUUUUCAUAAUGUAAAAAAAUAAUUACAUUUUAAUUACGUAACUUAUUUUUCAGGGUAAUUUGAAUCAGCAAGAUAAUCCUAGAAUCAUUAGUUAUGUGCUUCAAAAAUGUUGGUCCAAACUAAUUUAAAUUAUUUUCUUUUUCAGUUUGAUCACUCAAGUAGUAAAGCUUUUUUUUUUUGAUACUUUAGAAAAUUGUUUUUAAACACUUAAGUAAUAUAAGAAAUUUGUUGUCACUUAUUUUUUUUUCCAGCAUACACUUAAGGCAUGGGUGUUUAUUCCUUGAUAAUUAAUACUAUUUUUCUUCUUGAAAGGGAUCGUAAUGAGACGAGGCUGAUUUCUUGUACUGUAGAUUUGUUACUUCACACUUAUUAUGAUUAUGUAACUGUUUUACAUUACUAUGUUGAAUGUAGAUUAUACAAAGGCUAAAUUUAGGUUGUCGCUAUGUAAUUUAUUUCUUUGGUCUAAUAAACAUAUUUUUAAAUUAUUGCAAAAAAAAUAUUUUUUUUUUACUUUGCCAUUCUCCUAAAUGUUUCUAUUUUAUUAGACAAAAUCAAAAUUCAUGUGGUGAUCUGAUUACUGUAUUUUAAUAAUUUAUAUUUCUUUUAGCAAACAUUGAAAUGUCUGUAUUGUCAGUAUUGUAACAUUGAAUUGUUUACU